rnacentral:rRNA from 1 species
UACGUAGGGGGCUAGCGUUGUCCGGAAUCAUUGGGCGUAAAGAGCGUGUAGGCGGUCCGGUAAGUCCGCUGUGAAAGUCGGGGGCUCAACCCUCGAAUGCCGGUGGAUACUGUCGGGCUAGAGUGCGGAAGAGGCGAGUGGAAUUCCUGGUGUAGCGGUGAAAUGCGCAGAUAUCAGGAAGAACACCCGUGGCGAAGGCGGCUCUCUGGGACGGUACUGACGCUGAGACGCGAAAGCGUGGGGGGAGAACAGG